GUGUCAGCAGCCGCGGUAAAACGUAGGAGGCGAGCGUUAUCCGGAUUUACUGGGUGUAAAGCGCGUGCAGGCGGUCUGGGAAGUGGUGCGUGAAAGCGCCCGGCUCAACCGGGCGAGGCCGUGCCAAACUGCCAGGCUUGAGGUAGGUAGAGGCGUGUGGAAUUCCGGGUGUAGUGGUGAAAUGCGUAGAGAUCCGGAGGAACACCAGUGGCGAAGGCGACACGCUGGGCCUGACCUGACGCUCAGACGCGAAAGCAUGGGGAGCGAACGGGAUUAGAAACCCCGGUAGUCCAUGCCGUAAACGAUGUCGACUAGGUGUGGGGGUGUAACAGCCUCUGUGCCGCAGCCAACGUGAUAAGUCGACCACCUGGGGACUACGGCCGCAAGGUUAAA
rnacentral:rRNA from 1 species